UACGAAGGGUGCAAGCGUUAAUCGGAAUUACUGGGCGUAAAGCGCGCGUAGGUGGUUCAGCAAGUUGAAGGUGAAAUCCCCGGGCUCAACCUGGGAACUGCCUCCAAAACUACUGAGCUAGAGUACGGUAGAGGGUAGUGGAAUUUCCUGUGUAGCGGUGAAAUGCGUAGAUAUAGGAAGGAACACCAGUGGCGAAGGCGGCAUCCUGGACCAACACUGACGCUGAGGAGCGAAAGCCAGGGGAGCAAACGGG
rnacentral:rRNA from 1 species